CCGAGUGCGGGCCCUCGCGGCCCAAACCUCCCACCCUUGUCUCUAUACACCUGUUGCUUUGGCGGGCCCACCGGGGCCACCUGGUCGCCGGGGGGACGUACGUCCCCGGGCCCGCGCCCGCCGAAGCGCGCUGUGAACCCUGAUGAAGAUGGGGCUGUCUGAGUACUAUGAAAAUUGUCA
rnacentral:misc_RNA from 1 species